rnacentral:rRNA from 1 species
UGGGGAAUAUUGCACAAUGGAGGGAACUCUGAUGCAGCGACGCCGCGUGAACGAAGAAGGCUUUCGAGUCGUAAAGUUCUUUUAUUUGGGAAGAUAAUGACGGUACCAUAAGAAAAAGCCCCGGCUAACUACGUGCCAGCAGCCGCGGUAAUACGUAGGGGGCUAGCGUUGUCCGGAAUCACUGGGCGUAAAGGGUUCGCAGGCGGAAAUGCAAGUCAGGUGUAAAAGGCAGUAGCUUAACUACUGUAAGCAUUUGAAACUGCAUAUCUUGAGAAGAGUAGAGGUAAGUGGAAUUUUUAGUGUAGCGGUGAAAUGCGUAGAUAUUAAAAAGAAUACCGGUGGCGAAGGCGGCUUACUGGGCUCAUUCUGACGCUGAGGAACGAAAGCGUGGGUAGCAAACAGG